UCGGUCUCUCAUUUAAAUUCUCUAAUUUCUCGUAAAAGGCUUCUGAUGUGACGUCACACUUCGGUGAUGGAACGUACUAUGUACGCCACCUAUCGAGCAAUAGUAUUUCGUGUUCUGAGGCCGUCCUUGUGACAGUCGGAAAGAAACUCAGCUGAGCUUUCACUUUUAGUUGGGAAUUGUUCAGAGUGGCAUGGGACUAAAUUUAGAUCAAGUACCGGUUAAUAUCUAGUUUAAAAAAAGAAAAAAUGUGAAUUCCAUUCCAACCCAUUGAGGAUUAUUUGGGAGAAAUAAUUAUUCUUCCAAUGGGGUUUUCUAUACAACACCAUCGAGUCUCAUGCCACUCCCUUGAAAACUUAGACCUCCCAGUACCAUCGGAGAGGUAGGACAAUUUCCAACCACAAGUCAUCCUGGGUAGUAAUUUUUGGGAACAAGCUAUUUGGGGGCAUUCCGGCUCCUUUUCAUUCUACACCUGGACCUACAGGAGGUACCAGUUCGUACCGUCCAGGUGCUCAUCUUGGGAUGCAGUAGCGGACUUUUAGGAGUCAUUUGGGAUUUGUUUGGGAACAUUUAAGUUUGUGUGGAUUUGAGUAACUAUAGUGUUUAUAUUUCAGACAUUUGGUUAAUGUAAUAUUUCUUUUCAAUUUAGCUUAACUUUGGUUUUUAUUAUAACAUAUUUUUAUAUUAGAUUGUUUGGUUCCCAAACUUUGUAUCUACGGUAACUUCUUGUGCACAGGAAUAAGCCUAGAGAAAAUUAGGUUUUUAAUGCUUUAUUAUUGCUUUGAUAUUGGUUUAUGUAAUUCGGGUAAAUUUAUUUUUUAAUAUUACUAGCUUGUUUCCCAAAUAUUUUACUGUUAUUCGCUUUAUUCCAUUUGUUCGGUUAAUUUAGGUCAUCGUCGGUAUUCAUCUCAACUUCAUUUCUACUUUAGUCAAUUGUAUAUUUAACUUUAUUUAUUCAUUAUUGUAUUUUCCCUUAGUGAGGCUUGGGCCUAUUUAUUUGUAGUAUUUUCAUCUUUGUCAGUUUCCUUUAGUUGUACGUAGCAGGCGUACUAUAACCAUUUGGUAGAAGACUCAUGUGAGUUGUACCCUAUAUAUAUGUAAGAGGUAUCUAAUUUUGUAAAAGAUAACAUUAGUGUUGUUGUAUUGUAUAAUAUCAUCUUUAAAAUAUAACAUAUGUCAUGUUAGAGUCACAGCAUAAUAUGAACUUGCUUAACUCAGAGAUUGUUAAAAAUCUGGUAGUUAAUUUUAAUAAAUGUUUAUUUAUUUUGUA